rnacentral:rRNA from 1 species
UACGUAUGGUGCAAGCGUUAUCCGGAUUUACUGGGCGUAAAGGGAGCGCAGGCGGCGCGCCAAGUCUGAUGUGAAACCCCGGGGCUCAACCCCGGGCAUGCAUUGGAAACUGGCGGGCUGGAGUGCCGGAGAGGUAAGCGGAAUUCCUAGUGUAGCGGUGAAAUGCGUAGAUAUUAGGAGGAACACCAGUGGCGAAGGCGGCUUACUGGACGGCAACUGACGCUGAGGCUCGAAAGCGUGGGGAGCAAACGGG